GUUUUCGUAGUGUAAUGAUUAUCACGUGUGCUUCAUAUGCGCAGGUUCCCCAAUUCGAACCCGGGCGGAAACA